UCGGCUGUUAACCGAUUGGUCGUAGGUUCGAGUCCUACCGCUGGAGCCA
rnacentral:tRNA from 1 species